CAGUCGCCGCGGGAAUACGUAGGGUGCGAGCGUUAAUCGGAAUUACUGGGCGUAAAGCGUGCGCAGGCGGUUUUGUAAGACAGGCGUGAAAUCCCCGGGCUCAACCUGGGAAUGGCGCUUGUGACUGCAAAGCUAGAGUGCGGCCGAGGGGGAUGGAAUUCCGCGUGUAGCAGUGAAAUGCGUAGAUAUGCGGAGGAACACCGAUGGCGAAGGCAAUCCCCUGGGCCUGCACUGACGCUCAUGCACGAAAGCGUGGGGAGCAAACAGGAUUAGAUACCCGAGUAGUCCCUGUCUCUUAUAC
rnacentral:rRNA from 1 species